rnacentral:rRNA from 1 species
AUGCCGCGUGUGUGAAGAAGGCCUGAGGGUUGUAAAGCACUUUCAGUGGGGAGGAGGAUAGCAUGGUUAAGAGCUGAGCUAUUGGACGUUACCUACAGAAGAAGCACCGGCUAACUCCGUGCCAGCAGCCGCGGUAAUACGGAGGGUGCGAGCGUUAAUCGGAAUUACUGGGCGUAAAGGGUGCGUAGGUGGUUAAAUAAGUUAGAUGUAAAAACCCUGGGCUUAACCUAGGACUGAGAUUUAAUACUGUUUAACUAGAGUAUGGGAGAGGGUAGUGGAAUUUCCGGUGUAGCGGUGAAAUGCGUAGAGAUCGGAAGGAACACCAGUGGCGAAGGCGGCUACCUGGCCUAAUACUGACACUGAGGCACGAAAGCGUGGGGAGCAAACAGGAUUAGAUACCCUGGUAGUCCACGCUGUAAACGAGUCAACUAGCCUU